CCCUUAGAUGUUCUGGGCCGCACGCGCGCUACACUGAUGCAUUCAACAAGCCUAGCCUUGACCGAGAGGUCCGGGUAAUCUUUGAAACUGCAUCGUGAUGGGGCUAGAUUAUUGCAAUUAUUAAUCUUCAACGAGGAAUGCCUAGUAAGCGUGAUUCAUCAAAUCGCGUUGAUUACGUCCCUGCCCUUUGUCCACACCGCCCGUCGCUCCUACCGAUUGAAUGUGUUGGUGAGGAGCUCGGAUUGGCAGCAGUUGGUGGUUCGCCACCGGCUAUUGCUGAGAAGUCCUCCAAACCGCCCCAUUUAGAGGAAGGAGAAGUCGUAACA
rnacentral:rRNA from 1 species